rnacentral:sRNA from 1 species
ACGUGGGUUUUUUAAUUGCAUGAUUAUGCAACCAUACGGGAACCUUACAUAAGCGCAGGUCGUAAAACAAUGAAUUCAAGAACCAAAACGGUGCUACUGAUUGAAAUGAUUGAACAAACUGGGUAUGCUAAUCUUGCAAGUAAAAUAUGCACUAAGAAUGAGAAGCUUCAGAGAAUUCCGGUUUUUUCAAUUCCAUCUAUCUUAACUUUCAAUUAAAUUACUUGAAGAAAGAAUAUCUGUUUAGGAGAAAACGACGCUGAAAGUCUGUUAAAAGAUGAGUCUGACAUGUGUGAUAUUUAGAUAAUAUAAAAAGAGAGAUCUGAUAUGAAUAAUAUAGAAAUAGUAAAAUAUGGUAUACAGAAAAAAAAACCAAAUAUUAUGUAUAUAUAAAGAAAAAAAUAACCUGCGAAUAUUGAGAAGUA